UGUAAAUAGUAUUUGUAUUAGUGAAUCAAAUUACCCAAGAAUGCACAGUAUAUUGCAUAAAUCAUUUAUAAUUACCCUUGAAAGAGUGAAAAAUUCACGGGGGCGAAUAAUUAUAUCACUGUUCGAGUUCGAUGACAAGAUUGAAUAAAUUAUCCACCCCACCGGGAAGAAACGUCACCGCAUCAUCAGAUUGUUUGUGUAGUUUGCCUUUCUUGUUUGCUAAGUUAAUUCGUGUUGCGUAAUAUUAAAGUUUUUUUUUUAAUGGUUAAGAUCGAAAAUAAUACGUGAUUCAAUGAUUAUUAGUGGCUAAUGAACGUUAAGAACCUAAACCUCCGUUUGAAUUAGUCUAUGAUAAGGGAUAUCCGUUUAUGUGAACAUAAGACUAGGCCUAUGCUAAUGAAGAUCAAGCCUGUAUAGUAGCCUAGCUUAUUACCUCUGGGUAGGCCUAGAUCGACGCAGCCAUGGAUUUAUUCGUUCAAAGCAGGUCACAGCAGGCCAUGUUACUUAGCUUGGGGCUCUGCCUCCUCCCCCCAGACUCCGUGGUGAAGGAAAACACUUUUCACCAAAAGCUACCCAAUAACACUGCGCAUGUGCGAUAGCAUCCCCAGAUGGCCAACAUACAACUUUUGAGAAUGUGAUUCCCUUCCCCAGGAGCUUUGUUGGUGGUGACCUGAACCAGAUGCUUCAGUGCCUGGAGUAAGUGGUCCUGCACUGCAUGUAUGCUUUUGAAGAAGUUGGAGAGGGAUAUGAAAUGUAUGAAGUAUUCCUUGACCUUUGUCAGCAGAAGUUUGUUGUACAAACGGGCCGAAGGGCUCUGGAAAACACAUAUGGAACACAAUAAAAAAUAAGUCAUACUUGAUUUGAAGUUUACAAUCGUAUGUCAGCUUAUGGUUGAGAUGUGGUCCGACAUGUUUGAGCUUUGUAUAAAUGAUCUGAUACAUUUAAGAUAAAAGACGUUGAAAAAUAUUAUAUGCAGAAAGUGUAAAGAAUAUUAUGUACGGAGAGUGUAAAAAGUAUUAUGUACAGAAAGUGCCAAAAUUAUUAUUGACAGAAAGGGCCAAAAAUAUUUUUUGCAGAAAGUUUAAAAAGUAUUAUGUACAGAAAGUGUAAACAGUAUUAUGUACAGAAAGUAGUGCAAAAAGUAUUAUGUACAGGAAGUGUAAACAGUAUUAUGUACGGGAAGUGCAAAAAGUAUUAUGUACAGAAAGUGUAAACAGUAUUAUGUACAGAAAGUGCAAAAAGUAUUAUGUACAGAAAGUGUAAACAGUAUUAUGUACGGGAAGUGUAAACAGUAUUAUACGGAAAGUGCAAAAAGUAUCUGCACAGAAGCUGUAAAAACUAUUAUGUACAGUAAAUUUAAAAAGUAAUAUAUACAGA